CUCGUCAGUCUUACUCCAUCAUUUUAAAAAGUAUAGACUAGUUUAUGGAUUUCUAAAGUUAUGUCAAGAUGACUCUGAAUGUAAUAUUGUCAACAAUAAUUGUCAAAACACGCAAUUUAAAAUAUUCAACAUUGUAAUUACAAAAUAGUAUAUUUCUAAUACGCUAUAAUUUUCUCCAAUCGAAAGGCGCUCCAUUCCAUUGAUCUCAGAGAGUAUGCUCCUUGAUGAUCUUCACUAUUCAUGGGCAUUUUUAAGUUGUUCAUCGGACACUGAGGCCAUUGAAGUUUUAAGCUGGCGGCAUCAAAAUGGAGUACCUAGAAACCAUACGGAAAUAAUGAGGAUGCAUCGACAUAAGAAGAAUCGAACAUGGGCAAGAUAAAGUUCAAGAAAAAAGCAAAUAUAAUGUGUACUUGUGUGUAGUCAAAGAAAGUUGAAAAAUAAAGCAUAAUUACUGGCCAUAGAAUACAGAACCGAUACACGAACAUUAA